UUUAUGUCUUUUAUAUUUACUAAAAUCCUACUGUUUUUCUUUAAUGGAGCUUCCCAGUAAAGGUAUUUCACUGGUUAGCUUUUUAGUAUAUUGUUUUGAUUUUACAUUUUGCAGUCAGAUGUUCUCAUCAACUUGCUGAGGGGCAGACAAGCUGUGAUAAGUCUCACAUUGCCAGACAGAUCUCCACAGCACUGCGGAGAAAGGAAGCUGUGAUAAACCCACAAACAAAAUUCUUGGCCCUGUUAAAGGGCAUUCUCUAUGGGCCCCUCCCAGCAUCCACAGCCAUUCAUUUUAUCAUCUUGUUGGGCCUUAUGGGUACUCAGUCCCCUUUGCCCCCCAGUCCGACGCCCCUGCCCACAAAUAGCAAACAGUAAUCAAGUGACGGUUGACAGCUGCACCAAUGCUGGACUUCUAUUCAUCCGGUGGCUGGAAACACACUGUUGCUCCAAUGUUUGUUGAAUAGGUAGAUCAUUGUUUGCAUCAUGAGGGCAUUUUAUGUCAGCUAAUUUGAUGUGUUUCUGCCACCUAGUGGAAGGUUUUCAGAACAACAAAUACAUUGCAUUUCUCUGACUUCAGAAUCAGAAUAAGGAUGUGUAGACAUAAAAGGAUUUUGAUUUGGUUUUAGAUUGAUCUCAAUGUAGCUACUUGCACACAACAUUUCCAACAUUUUACAGGAAGAUAGAAAAAGCUAAAAACAAGGUCAAUAAGCUAAAAAACAAAAAUAUACAACUAUUUCAUACAAGUGCAUGAAAAAAGGUGUAUACACACUAAAAACUCCUGGGUUAUUUUGUCAACCCAGUUUCUGGGUUAUUUGUGUUGGGUUAAAAUUAUGGGUUAUUUUUUCAGAGAGUAACUCAUUUUCUGGGUUAUAGGGCUAAUAUUUGACCCAUUGCCUGGGUUGUUUGGGUUUCUGGGUUAUUUUUCAAAGAGUAGCUAACCCAUGUUCUGGGUUAUAGGCUUGGCUUUCUCUCUCUCGCGCGCUCUCUCUCUCUACAAUGUAUUUUUCGGUUAGUUGUCUUGACAUCGGACCAGCUUAUUUUCUCCUCUAAACGACACUUUGGUUCCUGGGGCAGGGAGGCGAGGUAAGCAUUUUCAUCUUACUGGUAGUUUGUUGCAGAAAAUGUGCUUGUUUAAACCGUGCUUCUAAAAUAAACUAUCUUACGUUCCAUUAGCUAACUUAACUAGCUAGCUACCUAGCUUGCUUGUGAAGAGUAACUGACAUUUACGUUUUUUCAAAGGAGUUGUUAAUGGAGACAUGUCAAUGCUGUAUCGUUGUUAUCUAUCUAUCUAGCGCUAUGUCUGUUUGCACAUUAAAAUAAACGUUAUCUAAGUAGCUAGCUAAGUAAGUUAUCGGUUUUCUUUUUUAUUAAGAUGUAUCUGAGUCACUGUAUGCUAAAUUGGCUGGCUAGCUAGCUAGCUAGCCAGCCAAUGUAGCCAGGUUAAUGAUACCACAAAUGUUAGCACGCUAAAACGUAGAUAACAUUGAUUUAGCUCGGUUUAAGAAGAUGUUUAUGAAUAAAACGUUACUAACGAUAGCUAAUCCACCGACCGUUAGAAAUGUACGGACAUUAUUAUUAUUGGAUAUUUUCUUGCUGAAAAGUGAACAGAAAAAGGAGGGAAAUUUGUAUUCAGCUAUGACGUAGCCUAUUUUGAAUGCUCACGUUUCCACGUUGGAUGUAUUUUUAAUUGUUUGUUAACGUUACUAAAAGUUAUGUAUUAAGUACUUUAUGUAGUUCCUUUUAAAUAAAAAAUGCAAAAAUGUAAUGCUGACAAAUCGCCGGUUCCCGCCCGGGGCUGUGGUGUACCUCAGAUUUAUACACAACUCCCUGGAAGUUAUCUCUGUACAUUUAUUUUUAAGGAUGAAUAUACAGAAAAAAUGUGUAGAGUAGAUUACACUCGUUUUUAAAGGAGGGAAAUUUGGGAGGGAAAAUCUAUUUUUUUUUUUUUUAGGUAUAACCUUUUACAUAAAUCAGGCUUUGAAUUAUAUAUGAAUUAAUCCCUAAUGUAAAAACCUUAACAAUAUAGAGAGGAAGGAAACAAAUAGACAGGGUAAAAUAAACAUGUAAUUGUGUAUCUGUUUUUUGUAAUAGUCUGAAAGAAGAAAAAUAGCCCUCAGCCUCAGCAGCAUCAGCCUCCUCCUCAACACACACAGGAGCAGCUAGACCCUGUUGGGGAGCAGCCUCCGUUCAUGCUGCUGGACCAGAGUCAGGAACAAACCUGAAAAACCUCUUCCGGGGCAGUGGACGUAGCCCUGGAAUAAGGAACCUGAAAUUCCCUCCUUCAAUUGAAGACCUCCAGGACUACCAGCGGUACCAUGAGGGCAGCUGCCCCCCUUCCAAGCAGCUGGAAAAUGCACAGUCCAAAGUGUCGAGGGUCAGGUCUUUUAUAUUUUACCUGGCAAAGGGACAGACUGAAUUGUUCAGUUUGCUAUUUUAAGGAACAUUGAUGGCAUCCAAAAAUACACAGCCCACCUCCAGUCCCCAGGCAAGACCAUCACAACGGCACAUUUCUACCUGAGAACCAUACAGCAGUUCCUCAAAUACUUUCGGGAAACCCUGCCUGCCCAGUCUCACCUGACUGCGAUGGAUGUGGUGAGCGUGCUGCGCCCCGUCACAAAGUGCAUCACAGACACAACCAGGAACGUUGUCCUGCACCUGCUGGCAGUGAAAAGCCACAAGAAGGCCAGGAUAAUAUCCUGCGAGGACCUGAAGCGGUGUCAGGAGGGGGCCACACUGAGGAUCCCAGAGCUGCUGGACGCCCUGGAGGAGAACCACACACCGUCGCCGCGGUACCGUUUUUACAGCUACUUUGCGGCUUUCACAGCCUCCAUUACGGUCAUUGCCCAGGGGGAUUGGUAACCUCCGGGUUUGCGAGGUCAAAGAGGCCGCAGAGGCGCACAGGCCUGGCGAUGAUGGUUUUGUGAUCUCUAUCAGGGAACACAAGACUAACAAGUCCUUUGGGGUGGCCCAAAUGUUCUUAGAGACUGACGAGUUUCGAUGGCUGGUUCGGUGGCUGCAGCUACGGGUGGCCAGCAAGCCACCGAACCAGCUGGUUUUCUUCACGGCUGGGAAGGGCCCAUGCUAAAACUUCUUGCACCACCUGCAGGUAGCGUGGGCGGAGAUCUGCCUUAAAGGGUCCCCCAACUUCACUGACCUGAGGACCGCUGUGUCUGCUCAUGUCAAGAACAACCUUCUGUCGGGCAGCAGAAGAUGGUGGCCACCUUUAUGUGCCACAACAUGGCCACCGCUGACUGCUUCUACGCCCUCAGCCUGAACGUGGCCCAGUCUAAGAGGAUGAGGGAGCAUUUCCGCUAAGCCCUGACCCACACCGCGCCAUCACCGGAGCAACCAGAAGCCUCCCCCUCCUCCCCCACCAGGAAGAGUUACCGCAAGCCUGAGUCCUCCUCCAGUUCCAAGACAAAACCCCUGCCCCCUACCAGGAGUCAGGGACCUCGGGACUGGAGAAGGAGAGGGAGUUUAUGGCGAGGCUGCAAAAUACACCAGAGAAGGCCCGAGAAGUCUCGUGAACACGCCAGUGUGCUUCAACCUAACUUGUGUGGUGGGAAAUGUCUUCAGCCACACCGGAAAAUAAGUUUUGUUUUUAAUACUUUGCUUUUGUAUGAGCUGGAUUAUACAGUACACCAAACGUAUUAUGAAUAAAACAACAUGGAUAUUCCAUUACUAUGGGUUCUUACUGACAUUUCAGGACCAUUUAUGACGGGUCGGGAUAUUGCCAUCCUUGUGUAACCCAGACUAAAAGGUACACAGGCAUAGAUUCACAAGGGAGUGGAGGGGGGCAUUUUAUAGCAUUUUGAUAAGAUGCAUAGUGAUAUUAAUCAAAUACAGUAAUGCACACAAAAGAAAUCUAUGGUUUCUAUGGGAGAAAAACAAACAUUAUGUACAUUAGCCAUGCCCUACAGGAAUUGGGAUUUUGUACGUUGAUACAUUUUGAAACCACUACAUGAUGUAUGUUCUAAUGUCUAAGUUUUACAUAAAUUAAAUAAUUUGCACAUAUA